rnacentral:lncRNA from 1 species
CCUCUUUGUUGUUUGAGUCACUUUGAGAGGACUAUUCCUAAAAGCCAAAUUUAACAACACAUCCAGCCUCAGACUCAGGUCCCUGGACUUUGGGACUCAUUCUGCUCGACUUGAUCCCUGCUCUGCCCAUUGAUCACAUACACACGUUUACACCUGGCAGAAGAGGAAGAGGAGGCAUGAAGGAAUGGCCUCUUCAGAAUGGAGAAAAGCCUUCCCCAUGAGAACAUGCCUAAGACAGACUGCUGAAGAAGGCGGCAAAUGGAACAGCGCUGAAUCAGCCUGGUCAUCCCAGUCAAGCCUCCAGACAUAAUAUGAAAGUUCAUCAGCAAGCCAGCACACAGGGAAAGCAUAUUGAAAUGAGCAUUAUGGAUCUGUCAGGC